rnacentral:rRNA from 1 species
CUAGUAUAGCAUUAUACCGCGAAACUGCGAAUGGCUCAUUAAAUCAGUUAUCGUUUAUUUGAUAGUACCUUACUACAUGGAUAACCGUGGUAAUUCUAGAGCUAAUACAUGCUAAAAAUCCCGACUUCGGAAGGGAUGUAUUUAUUAGAUUAAAAACCAAUGCCCUUCGGGGCUCUCUGGUGAUUCAUAAUAACUUCUCGAAUCGCACGGCCUUGCGCCGGCGAUGGUUCAUUCAAAUUUCUGCCCUAUCAACUUUCGACGGCUGGGUCUUGGCCAGCCGUGGUGACAACGGGUAACGGACUGCCCUAUCAACUUUCGACGGCUGGGUCUUGGCCAGCCGUGGUGACAACGGGUAACGGAGGGUUAGGGCUCGACCCCGGAGAAGGAGCCUGAGAAACGGCUACUACAUCCAAGGAAGGCAGCAGGCGCGCAAAUUACCCAAUCCCGACACGGGGAGGUAGUGACAAUAAAUACUGAUACAGGGCUCUUUCGGGUCUUGUAAUUGGAAUGAGUACAAUUUAAAUCCCUUAACGAGGAACAAUUGGAGGGCAAGUCUGGUGCCAGCAGCCGCGGUAAUUCCAGCUCCAAUAGCGUAUAUUAAAGUUGUUGAGGUUAAAAAGCUCGUAGUUGAACCUUGGGCCUAGCCGGCCGGUCCGCCUCACCGCGUGCACUGGCUCGGCUGGGUCUUUCCUUCU